GACAGAGGCCUCAAGCGUUAGGCGGAAUCACUGGGCUUAAAGCGUGUGUAGGCGGAUCGUUAAGUGUCUUGUGAAAUCCCACGGCUCACCCGUGGAACUGCUGGGCAUACUGGCGAUCUUGGGCCAACUAGGGGCAACUGGAACAAGCGGUGGAGCGGUGAAAUGCGUAGAUAAUCGGUCUUGGAACGCCAAAGGUGAAAACAGGUUGCUGGGGUUGUGCC
rnacentral:rRNA from 1 species